AUAGCAUAGUGGUAGUGCGUUUACUUCGUAAGUAAAAGGUCAUGAGUUCAAUCCAUAUU
rnacentral:tRNA from 1 species